rnacentral:rRNA from 1 species
AUUGAACGCUGGCGGCAGGCCUAACACAUGCAAGUCGAGCGGAUGAAGGGAGCUUGCUCCUGGAUUCAGCGGGGGACGGGUGAGUAAUGCAUAGGAAUCUGCCUGGUAGUGGGGGAUAAUGUCUGGAAACGGGCGCUAAUACCGCAUACGACCAGAGGGUGAAAGUGGGGGAUCUUCGGACAUCACGCUAUCAGAUGAGCCUAGGUCGGAUUAGCUAGCUGGUGGGGUAAAGGCCUACCAAGGCGACGAUCCGUAACUGGUCUGUGAGGAUGACCAGUCACACUGGAACUUAGACACGGUCCAUACUCCUACGGGAGGCAGCAGUGUGGAAUAUUGGACAAUGGGCGAAAGCCUUACCCAGCCAUGCCGCGUGUGUUAAGAAGGUCUUCGGAUUGUAAAGCACGUUAAGUUGGGAGAAAGGGCAGUAAGUUAAUACCUUGCUGUAUUGACGUUACCAACAGAAUAAGCACCGGCUAACUUCGUG